rnacentral:rRNA from 1 species
AGCGUACACAGGUGCUGCAUGGCUGUCGUCAGCUCGUGUCGUGAGAUGUGGGUUAAGUCCCGCAACGAGCGCAACCCUGCAUUCAGUUGCCAUCGGUAAGGCCGGGCACUCUGGAUGGACUGCCGGCGACAAGCCGGAGGAAGUGGGGACGACGUCAAGUCAUCAUGGCCCUUAUGUCCAGGGCGACACACGUGCUACAAUGGCCGGCACAACGGGAAGCGAAGGGGCGACCCUGAGCGGAUCCCACAAAAGCCGGUCUCAGUUCGGAUUGCAGUCUGCAACUCGACUGCAUGAAGUUGGAAUCGCUAGUAAUCGUGGAUCAGCCAAGCCGCGGUGAAUACGUUCCCGGGCCUU